GUGAACAAUAACAGUGCUGGUGCAGAGGGUUGAUUAAACGAAUUGAUAAGAGUAGAGCCCUGAAAAGAAUGAUCGACACACAAAUCCUGCAAUAUGUCUUCUGAACGUCUCUGCUGAAAAUUUCAAUGCCUCCUGUAAAGAGAAAGAAGGGAAAGAAGAGAAAACAGGGAAUACAUAUUGGUGUCAAGGAAACAACUACGGAAUGGAAUCUGAUUGGCUGUGUCACUGCAUUAACAGCCAGAGUUUUACAUGGCAGACCUGCAUGAUUGUGAGACCUACCAAGAAGCAAACUCUUGACAAUUUAGGAAUUUUAUGUGCAGCUUGAAGAAUGAAAAGUAAGUUUAGCAUUUAGGGUGUUUUAAUGUCUUAAGGAAUUGGCCUCUUCACCAAGAGUCUUGUUUGGAAUGAUAAAAUAGCUCCUAGUUACACAGAAGAAAAAUAGUUUACAAUUAAAAUUUUAAAUGGUAGGUGGA